CAGUCGCCGCGGGAAUACGUAGGGUGCAAGCGUUAAUCGGAAUUACUGGGCGUAAAGCGCACGCAGGCGGUCUGUCAAGUCAGAUGUGAAAUCCCCGGGCUUAACCUGGGAACUGCAUUUGAAACUGGCAGGCUAGAGUCUUGUAGAGGGGGGUAGAAUUCCAGGUGUAGCGGUGAAAUGCGUAGAGAUCUGGAGGAAUACCGGUGGCGAAGGCGGCCCCCUGGACAAAGACUGACGCUCAGGUGCGAAAGCGUGGGGAGCAAACAGGAUUAGAUACCCGUGUAGUCCCUGUCUCUUAUAC
rnacentral:rRNA from 1 species